rnacentral:rRNA from 1 species
AUUGAACGCUGGCGGCAGGCCUAACACAUGCAAGUCGAGCGAGCGGCGGACGGGUGAGUAAUGUAUGGGGAACUGCCCGAUGGAGGGGGAUAACUACUGGAAACGGUAGCUAAUACCGCAUACUAUCGGAUGUACCCAGAUGGGAUUAGCUAGUUGGUGGGGUAAUGGCUCACCAAGGCGACGAUCCCUAGCUGGUCUGAGAGGAUGAUCAGCCACACUGGGACUGAGACACGGCCCAGACUCCUACGGGAGGCAGCAGUGGGGAAUAUUGCACAAUGGGCGCAAGCCUGAUGCAGCCAUGCCGCGUGUAUGAAGAAGGCCUUAGGGUUGUAAAGUACUUUCAGUGGGGAGGCGUUACCCGCAGAAGAAGCACCGGCUAACUCCGUGCCAGCAGCCGCGGUAAUAC